ACAGCCGUGCCGAACGCGCGCACGGGAAGCCAUUGCUGUUCGUCCGGCUCUCACGUUUUGCGUGCGUGUGCGUGUGUCGCAGGCAACGAGUUCGGCGUCAUUGUCGGCCGACCGCCGUGGUGUGUGUAUUGUAUACGCUCACUUUUCGCCAGGGGGGUCGUCGUCACUACCGCCGCCGUCUCUGCGCCCUAGUUUUCACUCCCCCCACGUAAACGUCUUCGUCUCCGUCACCGUAAGUAUAAUAUAAUUUGAUUUUGAUAUUGCCUAUUUUUAUUAACAUUUUGCGCGCUUAUGCAUUGUCAUGACCGUUCGCACUGAGGUCUUUAUGUAUUACGGUUUAUGAGUAUUAUUAUUCCAUAUUUUAUCGCCAUUGUGCGUCGUUGCGCACUACCCGCAUGACGAAUGGGGGGAUCACAUGUACGUACACCGGAAAAAUUAUUCGUUGGACAGAGGAUCCGACUAAAUGCAGUUGGGAUGACGAGAAGUUCUCGAACUACGCGAUAAAAGACUUAGUGUAUGGGGCGACCCAUUAACGCCGAAACAGGGUCGAUACACGCGUCCCGGUUCCCUCGUAUACACCCCCGACACGCACUGGUCUUCGUAGAUCAGCAUCCUCUUGUUCCCCUCCACACACUCCCGUCACGGGCUACCAUCGACACGAUGAGUCUUCGCGGUACACCGUCCGUACACCGUAAUUCACGACCUCAAGUUUCCGGAACGACGCGAUAUAAUAAUACAGUUUUCUCACGUCAAGCUUCCGGUUUGCGUCUAAUUUUCUUCGCGUUUUUUUUCCACACCUACCCACCGUGUUUACACUAUUUCGUUUCUUGUUGUAUAACGACUGAUAGCGAUGCCUAUUUAUGACACCACUAAAACGGUACACUUAAAUUCUCAAUAUUAAAACCAGGUACACACGAAAAUUAUUUUCGAGCACAGAAUUAAGUGUACCGUAUACCUGCGAUAGUUUAUAAUUCGGCUCGUUUGAUUAACCGGCACCGGCCGGAAUACACUGUCGGCACAACCACGACUAUUAUAUUAUUAUGAUCCAUCCGCGGUGGAUGGACGAGGACUCGUGGAAGAGUGCGAAAAAAAACAAAUCACCCGUAGGUAUGCCGACUACUUUAUCGACUAGGUUUACUAGUUCACUACGCCACCGCCGACUCGUCGGUUUUUGAUUUCACGUACUCGUUACCCCGUAGACCGUGUAAGGCAGUUUUCACGAAGCCGUCUCUUUUGCCCCUCAAUCCCCCUCACCACCUAAUUUCCACGGCGCUCUACUUUUGGAUUAUUUCUCUGGCGGAACGAGGCUCGGAUUGCGCGUCACGUUGUUUUUCUCUACUUUUCGGUAUGCCAGUACGGCCGUACACUUGUCGCGAAACGUGUCUGUCCGUGUUCGCCUUCGCUGUUACGGAUAUUAGAUUGCAGUCGCUAAUUAUUGUAUUCACCGCCCUCCCCCCUUCCACUCGCCCAAACGACUCGACCGUUUAGCGAGUCGAUCGAGUUUCGGGGGUUUGUCUCCCCCCCUCCCGCCUUAGACACCUUAGAUACCGCCGUUGCAACGAUUAAAAACCUAUUAAAGAUUUAAGACUCCGUUUCGACGCGUUUUAGCGAGUGGCAGUCGCGUUUACGACCUACGCUCGCUAUUCACUUAGACGAGGGGCAAGCGCACUCUAGCGUUUUGUCAUCGCAACGACGACGCCGUGUCGAAUGCGUCUUUGUUACCGACACGUACGUAUGUACGUGAGUGCGUGCGGCCAAAACGUACGUAUGACGUAUUGACGGUACGGUACGUACGGCUACCUAAUUGUAUGUGUGUGUAUGCUUGGCUUAUCAUCGAGCCGACGAUAAUACCAUUUGUCUUUGUGAAAUAUACACCCACACGCACACUAUACACUCAUAAUACCAUGUAACAUUGCACACACAUAAUAAAAAUAACAAUAUUAUCAACCACCGCGGCCGCGCAGGAUUAAAGAAAUGUACCACGAAUAAAAAAUACCAUAGUCCUAUUAUAAUAUGCCUCCGCCGCGGUACCGCUAUCGUCGUGUUCCAUGUCGUUGAUCCGAACGCGCGAAUUUUAUUCCGCCACUCUACACGGCAGACACUUAAAAACCCGCGACACCACAACCGUCGAGAACCGAGAGGUACUAAGUAUUCGUUUUCGUUAUCGUUUUUCAAGGUUAAUCGAUAAUAUUGUGAUCGUCGUACCCUGUGAAACGUCGUUGACAAUGUAAAAUUAUUAUUAUUAAAUACGGUUUGUGAAAAUCAAAAAUAACAUUACACCGUUUUCCAUAAUAUUAACAUAAUAUUUAUUUAAUAGUAAUAGCAUAAUAAUUCUCGUGUAGACGAAUUCGAUCUAAACGCGUUUCCGUCGGAUUCGCCCGUCCGACCGUCGACCAUGUCGGCCACUACCUCGUGCAUGUGUGGAAGUACUAUGUCAAGGCGAAAGACUGCAACGACAAGGUCGCGGCCGUCGAUCGCGGUGCGAAAUAUGUUACGUUUUUAUUAUAAUGUCGCAGUUGCACUAUUACAAUAACAUUGCGUUCGUAUGUUAUAAAGUUUGUCGCGCGACUGGAUUUUACGGCCGCGCAGAUCUCUCGUAAGACUAAUGCGUGGCGGACAAAGGCACUCCACCGGUCCACCGCCAUGAACGUCCAUCCGUCCGGUAUUAAUCCCGUCGUCGACGCUUCGCCGCCGCUUUUCCGAAUUCCGACGUCCCAGCGCGGUCGCUGCCCUGUAGAUUCUAAUGCAGUAGCGCGUGUCAUAGCUAAAUAUUAUACAAUACGCGCAAUUUCAUAAUAAUUAAUAUAAUAAUAUAGGCGUUUUGUGAUUGAAACGGGUUUUUAGAUAAACCGCAGCCGCCGAAUCGCAUAUUUCCACAGAUAGAACUUAAACCAAUUUAACGGUACCAAACAAGUACCUAUUAAUUUCGAAUAUACCCACCUAGUUUGUUGGUUUUUUUUUUUUUUGGUCAGUACUGUAAUUCUACGUUAUUAUAGGGAGUCCGUGGGCGAACAUGUUGAUUUAUCGUGGGCCCUUUUAUUUCAUAUAUAAAACUGUAAAUUGUACCCAAUACAAUGUAUUGUAGAUCGCAAAAAUCGAAAUAUUAUGUUUCGUUUCUGUGCUGUGGGUUAAAUGUUGACGCCCUCGAGGCAUUUGGCCCACACCCUAGUUUUGUGUUCGAAACGUCAGUUAUUAUAUUUGGAAUUCGACUGUAUAAAUGCUAUCAUGAAUCGUUCGACAGAAUGUCACACCGAAAUAAGAAUAUGUAUUUCAAAUAAAAUUACUUAAACCGCACAGUACAAUUUAUAAGGACCGCCGUGAUUAUUCACCCCGGAGGUGGUGAAAAACAUAUUUGAAGAUAUAUAAUAUAAAACUGACAAUUUGAAAACGUUUAGAAUACAGAAUUAACAGCAGUUAAAAAUUAUUUAUCUAAAAUAACCAUUAUCUUGUGAUGUAGGGACCAACGUUGCAGUAUAAGUUAUUUAGGGAGGGUUUUCUAAGCCUUGUGAAUAAGUUUCCCGUAUCUGGGGGUGAACUGCACUGCAAGGUACGAAGUAUUUAUCAAUAAUAAUUAAAACGACUCGUUUUGUUUACAAUUCUGAUAUAAAUUAUGUUUGAUAAUCGACUUUACCUGUAAGAUGGCUGUUAACGUGUCCGUUUAUGUUGAUGGUAGCCGGCGAACUGUCCCUCGCCGUCUGUAUUUAAAUAUGUAAUAAUAUAUUAUUAUACAGUUUGGCCCCCACCGAGAAGUGCUAAUGUAGUAUAAAUGUAUAAUAUACAUAUUACAUGGUGAAUAUAAUAUACUACAUACAUGUAACGAAUGUUAAAAUCUCGUAAUGUUCACAUUUUAUGGAUGCCCAUAGUUAUAUAAUUUCUCUUUUCUAAUUACAAAUUUAUAGUCAUCAUUCAUCAGUGUAGGGUGGGGGUUGAAUAAUGAAAAAUCCGUUUGGGGGAAUAAACAAAGAGGUCUUUCUAUAUCUUGUAUAUGCAGUGGCGUAGCCUGGAAUUAUCAAUGAGAGGUCUAGGGGGGGUUUAGGGGCUCUAUAACUUACUUAACCUAUGGAAAUGGAUGGUUAUAAAAUCCAACUCCUGCCCCUUGGUUACUCCACUGUAUCUAUGUUUUGUUACAAUAAUCUAAAAAAAUGAAUUUUUUACAAAUCAACAGCAGUGGUGGAUCACUAGCCUUGUAAAUGAUGUAGCAAAUAUUUUGAUAAUUACAAAGCGUGGAGGUUUUAUAAUAAGUACUAUCAGAAAUAUGAUUAUCAUUAAUUAUUUGAUUAGUUAAUUUUAGGAUUUGUUCAUCAGUAAUUAUUUUGAAAGUUUAAAAAUAUUCGGUAAUCGUACAUAUUUUUCUGAAACCGAACAUUACUAUAUAUUUUAAAGAAAUUCCUUUCGUUUUGGAAAUAUAUUAUACUACAACAUAUAUUAGAUAUAUGUUAUAUAGGUUCCACGACAUAAUAUCACGAAACUACAAUAUCCCCGCAAAAAUAUUCCAUGUCAAAAAAUCCCGUGUAAAUAAUAAUUCAAAAUGUCAACCUUUAUUAUUAACACAAAAAAAUUAAUUAAAAAAUGUUUACUGUUGAAAAUUAGAAAAUGUCAUAUUUUAACUAGGAUGUUAUGUUUAAUUCUAAUCAAAAUUAAGAAAUCGGUUCUAAAUAAAAUUAUUUACAUGAUAAUUCGUCUGUAGUUGUGUGACAUCUUGUCAAAUAAUUUUUUCUUUUGUAAUCAGUGCAACGCCAAUUUAUUAUUUUUUUCAAUAUUUCGGUGUAUACUAAAUGAAUAACCUUCAAAUAUUAAUAAUUUAUUGCUUUUUUGGCUUUGGAUAAAUUCUAACAUUUUGUACCUGUCACAAACUUGUACUAACAUAAACAGUUAACUCACGAGUAAUAAAAACGAAACACUAUACCAUUAUUAUAUUAUUAUUUCUUAUCGCAACUUUCAUAAUAGAAGUUAAUUAUUUUAGGUUAAAAUGUUGAAUUAAUACUUACGCGGGAAUUUUUGACAUGGAAUAUUUUUGCGGGGAUAUUUUUGUCGUGUCACCAUAUACAUAUACAUUUAUCUAGUAAUGAGUAUUUCUGAAUAGUCUUAUAGUUUUUCUUAUAACCGAAUAAACACUAUUCGAAAUUCGAAUAGAUUUUAAUCUAUCGAAUGGUUCAAUAGUAAUUAUUCGAUUGUGUCUAUUAUUAAAUCUAAUUACCUAUAUGUAUAUUUAUUGUAAUUAGAAAUGUAUAUGAGGUGACACCUCAUCACUUUUCUCGUCUAGGAAGCCAUCACUCGUCUGCAGUCGUCAAUAAAAUAGUCUACAACCGAAUAAGUUAAUGAGUGCAUAAGAAAAAAGAAAUCUGAUGGUGAUAUCAGGGUAUUUGGGAGUAUAAUCGAAUCUUUUAAACGACAAUAAAUAAUAAUGCUGAUAAUAAUCUGAUUUUUUCAUUUCAACAUUUGUGCGUUUUCCGAAUUUAUCCACGUAUAUGACCAAUGAAGUCGAGGUCUUGGAUCUUGUAUAGUCCGCAUUUUUUACAGUGCAGUGCGAAUGUGUUUUUUUCCCGACUUAUUAUUAUUUUAUCGGUGUUGUUCAUUCAUUAAACAAAAAACGAAAUGGAUACCAAAAUAUACGUUUGUGUAAUGUAUGACUAUUUAAUAUAACAUUAUUGUCUAUUGAUGGUAUAUUAUAAUUUGUAUAAAGUAUUUGCUUGAUUCGAUAUCUGCAUCUUCGUUCAACGGUCCUAUAUAUAGGGUCUUCCAAAUUAUAUAUAGAUUAUAAAUAAAUAAAUUUAGAGCUGUGAAUUCGUAACGUGAGUAUUUUUAAAUGUAGAUUCCGUAAGAUGUAGUACAAUUAAAAUAUAAAAUGUUUAAAAUUUAAAAUUUAAAAAAUUAAUAAACAUAAUAAUUUAGAUUUAAAAUUUUGAGCUUACUGAAGAUGCUAGAUAUCAUAGUUUUAAUAAGAUAUUUAUUUUUAGAAAAUACUUUUUUAACGAAUAAAAUACUCCGAUUUUUGCAUGCAGUACUUUAAUAGAUACGAAAUUUCUGUCUGGUUGUACUUUAUUUGAUACACUUUUUGAAAUUCUCAACACAAUAAUCCAAACAUUUUCUUUGAAUUUUUUUUCUUUAGAAAAACGACUUUUCCGUUAGGAAACAUUUUUCAAAUUGUUCACACCUUACAUUUUUUACCCGGUAGUACUUUAUUGAAAAAUAUUUCCAGAUUCAUUACAGUUCUUUUAUUUAACUAUUAUAGUGAUAAGUAAAAUUAAUAAUUAGAUAAUUAAAAUAGUCAAACUCCUACCUGCAUAUGAUUUUAUUACAAUCUAGUCAAUAAUAUUUUUAAAUUACUGCUACUAAAUAAUUAUAAUAUGAUUUAUAAAAUAUAUAAUUAAAUAAUUUUCGUAUUAAACUUUUUUUAAAAUCAUAAUCGAUAAACAAUUCGUCGCUUAUCGGUGUUUUAACAAAACAUCAUAAUAUUAACUUCAGUUUAAUCUGAUUACUGUACAAUGUACAGAUACUACUAUUAUUAUUAACAAUAUUAUUUUUUUUACUGCAGUAUUCUUUAUGAAACUUAUUUAGUAAAACUUACUUAGUAAACUGUUAAUAUGAAGUAUAGUAAACACUAUGCAUAAACUACAACAUUAUGCAUGUUGUUCGAGUGUACGUUGGAAACUGAAUGUUAACUCUUAUUGGCAUUAACUUAUCUACAUGGCAAAGUGUGAACUCUUAUUAAGUAUUUUGUCGAAACGUAUUUUGCAGGGAUUCUAUUUUGUCGGAAAAUAAUUUUUACCCAACGACGAUAAUAUGCAAUCACUGAGUGCUUAUGAUGUAAUAAUAUUGUACGGUUCGACAAAACACUUUCCAACAAAUUAUUUUCCUGGCAAAAUACGGUUACGAAAAAAACACUUUCUGACAAAAUAUUUUCUAAUAAAAUAUAACCUUCCUACUUAUUCUCUUAUUUUCGAAAAAAUUAUAGUAAAAAAAAAAAAAAACUGAUACUGGGGAUGGGAACAACCAUUGCUGUAGGUGAAAAGUUGACAAGGUAGGAUAUAUAAGGUUAUUUCAUUUAUAUCUGUAGCGAUAAACCAUUGCUAGAUGAAAGACGAUUCCGAGCCCAGUUCGGUAAUACAUAAUUUGAAGUGCCGUAAUUAUUUUUGCGAAUUUUCAUUUAAAUUUGAUUUCAGAAGGCUUAUUAAAAACAAAAAAAUUCCGAUGAUUUUGGAUAUUUUACCACGUCUUGGUAAGUUGAAUAUAAGUAUUAUAACCAAGUUUCAAGUCUUUACGUAUAUUUAUAACCGAAUUACAGCAAAAACUCUCAAAAAUUAAAAAAUUUUUAAAGCUCAAAAUUGGCUAAACAGUGUUGGCGAUAAUACUGUAAGAAAGUAAAUAAAAAAGGCAACAUUUGUGAUUUUUCGGUUAAAUCAUUUUUCUAUUUUUCUGGUAGAAAACGUCGUUUGUGUUUUUAUAAAAUAAUGAAAUCGUGAAAUUGUACGUUUUCCUACGUUUUUUCUCACUUAAGUGCUUUUAUUUAAAAAAUGACAUCAAAAAUCAAAAAAUUACCUGUUUAAAGUACUAUAUAGAUAACUUGAGCUUUUAGAAAAGUUGCUACAUGUCAAAGUUGGAGCAAGUUUAUUGGAAAAAACGUAUCCACAGACUAGAACAAAGAAAAAAAAAAAUAAACAGAAUUGUAAAACCAAUAGCUCCCUCGCUACGCUCAGAAUCUAAAAAACAAACGGACAUUCUUCGCACGAUGGAUGAGCCACUGUUGUAGGUGAGAGUUGGGAAGGUAGAGGGAAUUUAAUGUGUAUCUGUACGCAACAAUUAACCACCGCUAAUAAAAAACAAUUCUAAGUGGAGUUUGAUUACACAGGUUUUGAAAAAUCGUGAUAUUUACGGUUUGAAAAUAAUACAUUUCGUAAAUUUUUCCGGUUUUCCAACGUUUUUUCCUAGUUUUUCCUAUUUAUUAAAAAAAAAACCAUGAGAAAAUUAAAAAAUAACCUAGAAUACAACCCCACGUAAAUUUCCUUUCAGAAAAGUUGUUCAUAGAAAAAUAAAAAAUAAAUAUCACUGUAAAUCCAAUGCAUUCCUCACUUCACUCAGGACCUUAAAUAUAUAUAAUAAUCGUUAUAAUAAAUAAUUUUUAUCAAAUCGGAUAACAAGAAUCUAUUUUUUUUCAUUGAAACAUUUGUAAUCUGAAAUACCUACCGAAAUUAUAUUAUUAUAACUAGGGAACGGAUUUUAAUGCCAUAAAAAAUAAGAAAAAUGUCCUGAAAAAAUACGACUUAAUGCCUUAAAAAAAUGCCCUACAAAACAUUAAUUUUUUUUUUAAUUCAAUAAAAACUAUUUUGAACUUACAACUUUUAAAAACACAUUAUUAUGAACAAUUUAUCUAAUACAAAAUAUUUUCUGUAAUUAUAUAUAUAAAAAUAUAGUUCAAUUAUCUUCUUCAUCUUAUUAUUCUUCAUCUUCUUUUUACCCUGAAAAUUAUUUUUAAGACGAGGCUAUACGCGAUAUUAAACGAUGAAGUAAUGACAACUCAAUAGUGCAACACAAAAUUACAAUUCAGAUAAAAAGAUUAUCUUAUCUUUACUUGUAUAUAUGUAUAAUAUACGUGUGUCAACAAUAAUUUCGUCUGGAGUCAGGGUUUAUCCGAUCGGUAAAAACAUAAUAAAUAUUUAUUUUUAUUUUUUUAGAAUGAAUGUUAAUCUACAUUUUUAUCGAAUUUUAUCCAUUCCUAUACAAAAAUGACUUAAAAACAUUAAAAUGUCCUAAAAAUAUCAAAAUAUAAUCUAAAAAUGUAAUAAAGUCUUAAUAAUACAAACAUAUGCAAAAAAAAAUGCAAAAUAGAAGUUACAUUUCUUAAUUCCUUGAUGUAUGAAAUGAACUUUGUGCUUGGAAAGCAAUGUUUUCUGAUAUUCAGAAAAAAUACAAUUUGCAUUCAAAUCCGUUCCCUAAUUAUAACCUUUGAUUAUAGGGAAAUUGUGGUCCAGGGCGAAAAGAAAAACAGGAAUCGAUUAUUGCAUUUUGAGAUGUUAAAAAUUUAACAUGCAUUAUUUUGAUUUUGUUUACAAUCAACGUAAAUUGACACGACGGCGUAUAAGUAGUGCUGUUGUCCUACUUACAUGAAAUAUUAUAUUAUAUUAAAUAAAUACGCGCAUAGUGAAAACAAAAAUACAGCUAAACAUACCUACCCAUUUAUAGAAGUAAUUAAAAAAAAAAAAAGUAUGGACUUACUUCACACGAUGUGUGGGCCACUGUUGUAGGUGAGAAGUUAGCAAGGUAGGAUAUAUUAGAGAAUUUAAUGUAUAUUUGUACGCAACGAUUAAUCUUUGCCGGUGCCUGCCCGAUAGAUUUCGGGGCCCUGUGGAGAAUUUUGCAAGGCCUAUAUUUAUUUAUUUUAUUUACUAACUGACUUACUUUAUUUUCAUGUAAUUUUAUAAACUUUAAGGUCUUGUUAGAAAUCUAAAUUUAUAUACCUAUAUAUAAAGUAAUAAAAUAAAAUUAAGUAGGUAUACCUACUUAGGUACAAACAAUAUUUUAUUGAUUAAUAUUUUUAUUAGCUAUGUAUAAUUGGUACCAUCUUGAUUUUCGUUAAUAACAAUUCUUGUCCUAAGAAAACUACACGGCCACACAGUUCAUGAAUCGAAAUUUGUUUACUAUUGGGACAAUAUUAUUAUGAUUAUUUAUAGAUAAUGUGAUAUUAGUAAUAUUAUAUACAUAAUUUUUGGGGUUCCGUAGAAGUGCGGGGCCCAGUGCGGUCACACCGCUUACCCCUCCCCCCUUGGCCCGGCACUGAUCUUUGUUAAUGAAAAACGAUUCUGAGUGGAGUUCGGUUAUGCAUGUUUUGAAAGUCCGUAAUAUUUAUGAUUUGAAAAUAAUAUAAUUCGUAAAUUUAAUGGUUGAUAAUGAUGAUUUGUCAACAAUAUAUAUGUCAUAUUAUGGUAAAAUAAUUAUAUAGACAUUAUAUAUUUUCUUUAAUAUUAUUUGUUGAAUAUUGUACCGGUUUUCCUGAGCUUUUCCCGUGUUUUUUCCCAGUUUUUCACAUUUUCCGGGAAAAAUCAUAAAAUGAAUUCCCCAAGUUACCAUGGAGAUAAAAUCCUUUCAAAAAAUAUGCUACACUUGAGACAUCGAUGCAAGAUUUUUGAUAGAAAACAUAGCACAACAUAACGAGGGGUAAUUUGCAAUUAAAAUAGUCCGAGCGAGCGAUGGCUAGAGUCUCUAGGUACAUCAAAUGCAAACAAUAUUUUUUCGAACUCGUAUACCCUAGGAAAAAAAUAUUUCUAUAUUCAGCUGACAAACAUAGUUUAGAGAAUACAGUAUUUAGUUAUUUACAUAAAAUAUAAUAUCAGAACUAUAAAAUGCUGUAAUUUCGAAAUUUUAUCAGUUCGCUCAAUUCUGACUUCACCAUCGUUCUUAAAUCUAAAAGUAGAUUUCUUCCACGUAAUCUUUUUCAUAAUUUUUAACGAUUUCCGACAAAAUUUGAUAUUAAAAUUUCUUUAUAAAAAAAAAUACUUCAUUAUACUCAAAUUUUCUUUAUUGAUCACAAAGUAAGACUCUUAAUGAACCCCCUGUUAAAUUUCCAAGCAUUUCUAUUAAGUUUAACAAUUUUACCACAGAGUACUUACCAAAUAAAAAUUACGUACAAAACUUGCAAAAUUAAAAUGUCUAUAUCUAAAUUUUUGAGCUAUUUAUAGCUCAAAAAUAGCUUACAUUUCUUUGGACAUUUUACAUUUUCUAGAAAAGGUAAAUAUAAUUUUUUGGGCCGAAUUUCUAGUCUCUACGAAUAUUUUUAACUGAAUUACAAAAAAUAAUAAAAGCAUUAUUUUUGUAAAUUUGCCGAUUUUCUUACGUUUCAACUUGGUUUUUCACAGUUAUGAAAACC